ensembl:lncRNA
CAGAUGGACCCACUUAAGUUUCAUUAAACAGAGUAUUCCACUGUAAGGAAUGUCAGCCACCACUUUCUCCUGUUUGACAGUUCUAUUUCCAGAGCUGCAAAACACACGUAGACCUUUCCUGCAGUCAAAUGACUAGUGGCCUCGUGGGUGGAACAUUAUUCAUAUCUAGCAUAGUUUCAUCAUUAAUAAACAUUUCAAAACAUAUAACAGACAAAAAAAUAGUUUUGUUAUAUUUCAGUCUUCUGUGAUGUGUAUAAAGUGUAAUAUUGGGAUGCAAACUCAAAAAUACAUUUCAACUCCAUAUCUGACAUGGUACAGAGGUGUCUUCUUUUUUGUAAGCCCAUAACCAUGCGUGUGAGGUGUACACUUUUGUUUCAAAACCAAGAAACACUCUGUGAACAUGAUUUAGUUUUUCACAAGAAUGGCUGCAUUGCUUUGAGCUUCAUACACAAGACACACUUAUUUACAGAAUGCAGUGCAGCGAUUGGUUUUAGGACUAUUAUCAAAGUACUCUAUCAGUCUUUAUGAACCACUAUGACCAAGUCCUACACGAAAACAUGCAUGAUAGCUUACAGACAAUUGGCCAAACCCUUAGGACAAGACCUUAGCGCAAAUGAGCCAGAUAUAGAGCCUUGAGGGGGAAACACAAAACAUGCAUGUGUGCCACAGUGGGAAACGGAGACCCAACACCCAGCAUACGUUGGGAAUUGUCUUAACAACAACAAACUCAAGGCUACAGUAUGUAAUCAGAGGGGGGGUUAAAGGUCAAGAAAAAUUCAAAACAAUAACAAACUCAAGACAGGAAAUCCAUGAGUCCCCGUUAACAUGUCCCGGAGGCUGGCUCCCAGGCCUUGGCAUGUUUUACCAAUCACAAGCCCUUUAGAGAAGUCGCACCGGAGUCGGUGGCGCUGGCCACACCCAUUUAGAUGCGGCAUGCAAAAAGCAGUAUCUUGGCCUAGGUAUGCAUGUUAAUAACUGCUGCUACAACUGCACAUUGGGUAUAAACGUAUGUUUCUAAACACCCAGAUGGCUUAUAAUGAACAAUAUGUUGUUCAGAAACAUGUGUUAUUAUCACAACCAUAAUGCAAUGAACUAGUAAAUGUUACAUCUACGUCACAGCUGAUUCAAUGUGGCUAUUUGUUUCAGACCACAAUCAGAGCACCAUUACUCCUAACGAUAAUAGCUACUGUACUUUGGUAAUUUAUAGCUAGUGAACCAAAGUAAUAAUAACCACAUGAACUAACAUCACAAUUACAUGUAAUUACAUCAAAGCAACUAUGCAUGUUAUUAAUAUGGCAGGGGUCUGGGGAUGACUUUUAGGGGGUCAUUCUAUUAAUUCUGGGCACAUUUUUAGUGGCACAACAGUGGCGUGCAAUCCCCCAUGUUUUUUGAUGGCCGCUAGGAUUUAAAUCUGAUCCGAAGUUAGGGGGGUGCCUGGGACAGGGUAGCCCACUACCGAGGUGUGCCGCAUUAUUUACCACGGAAUAGGCUUUGAUUCUUUGGAUUCUUACCAGCAAGGCCACCUCCGUGUCACUACAACAUGUGUUACAUUGUUACAAUCAUGAGGCCAGACCCGUAGAUGAUCAAUCAAAACGGCUAUAAUGUGCCAUAGCUCAUCCGAAACAUGUAAAUUGUAUCUUGUACAAAAUAGACCAACGAGAGUUGUUUCAAAACCACACUGUCCUUUUACUUAGCUCGUACUAUUGCCUACAAUGUAUCUUACCUCGAACUUUGGGGUGUUUAAUGCGUGCUUUCCUCUUUCCGAAGCAUUCCCCUGUUCGGUCUAACACAAGUUAUCGGGACACAAACCGCACCUAUCUGUACUAAUUGAUCUGCAGAGAGAAGUCCAGAAGAUCACUUGAGCAUCUAAUCUUCAUAUAAAGUCCCCUUCUUCUCAGCGUAAUGAAUGGCCGCUAGUACGCAAUACAGUAGGCCUACUAAAUAGUUCGCAGAGCACCUACUUGUUGCUCACGACAACAACUCUCUAUUCUUCUGAAUCAGUCCACGAAGCAUGCAUCAGAGGGCGGGCUAUACCGUCACUUGGGAGAUGAGGUUGAGUUGGAGCUGUGUUCCAUUGUCUUCUCUCACCGGUCCAACAAGCUGUCACUCAGCCAUCCCUAUAAUAUAUCGUUCUGUUUGUGUUGAUGUUUUUUUCCCCUGAGAUAAUGGGGUGGGCGUCGGAAUUGUAACGGGUUUCUAUCUAUGCAAGCCAUAUUUUGACAUGCAGACAUUACAGGUGAUGAAACAACUGUAUAUAAAGUUGUCAACUUGGUCAUUUUCACAUAAACCCUUUUGGCAGCAUCAAUGCAUAAGACUGUAGUAGAAUAUGCUAUGCAACCAUAGAGCAUUAUGUGUUAAGGGAAAACACAUUGCAUUUUAUUAGGCAAUAAUGUAGGUUACUCCAUGUGGGUAAGGUGGACCUCUAGUGGCUAUGCGAAGGGACAUGGUUUACUAAUAUCUCUAACCUAUUAAUACAUAGGCUCAGCAGCACUGUGAUUGAUAUGGCAAUCAUGCAUUGCUCUGCAUGACCAGUAGAUCUAGCAGCAGGACCUAGAAUGAGCUCUUUAGCAGCCCGCAUGCAAGCUACCCAGUAGCACUCUGGUCCUUUUCCUGGAAUCCGAGAGGAGGGCAAACAGAGGCUUAGCUGCUCCCAAGCUGAAACAACACCGUCCACAUAUACACACACACGCACGCACACACACACAUACGCAAGCAUGCAUGCACGCACGCACAAACACACAUGCACACACUA